AGGUCCCGAACAGGUGCUGCAUCACCCCCACCGCUUCGCCUCGAUUGGCACUGGCGCAGGCCACCCCGCCGCUCGACCUCGCCUCGCACCGGAGGCGACCACCACCAUCCUCCCCGCUCCCUCCCCUCCCCCAACCCGAUAUAGAUGCCUAACCCGCGGGAAUAGGCAGGCGGCCGGCGGGCGACGCGAGGCGCGGUGGCUGCGCGAGGAAGACGGGCAGAUGCGGGCGCGGCGUCGACCGAUCUGGCCGGUGGUGCGGCGGCUUGUUCCGGUGCCAGCGGCGUCCUGCUCAUCCAGAGAAGGAGAGACAAGGGCCUGAGGGAGAGAGGAGACAGAGGAAGAAAUGAGAAGGAGAAGGGGCGCACGCAGGGUGAGGGAGGCAGUCGCCGGCAAUGGCGGCUCCGGUGACUGACCGACGGGCUUGCUAGGCACAUGCUGCUUUAGUUGAACAGCCAGUUUGCUGUGUUUGACAUGUCGUGCCUGAAAUUUUGUUCUGGAACAUGCUGCUUUAGUUGGUAAAAUCAUUCUUGGGUAGAUUUAUCCGAUGUACUGAUGGAUCAUCCUCUGGAGUGCAUGAAUUGAAUGAAUUUCUGAAUUCUGAGCAGUAUGAUGUCAUGGUAUUUGAUUAGGUUCUUCUAUGAAUCCGUACCAAAACCAUCCUUGUAAUUUGUUGUUCCCUCUCUCUUAUCUGUGGUGCAUCUAGCUUUGGCCCAGUCCUCUAAAAAUAUUGAUCUCAUUGUUGUGAAUUUUGCACCACAGGGAAGAAGUUGUGGUGGCGGCGAAUUAUGCAGCCAUUGUCUCUCACGACCGUCGGCCCCUGCUCGCGACGUCUCUACUGGAGCCGCCUCUGCCUACUCUUGUGUGUUGCAGCUCCUUACUCUAGCCACAUGCCGCUUGCUCUCCCGCUAGCCUCUGCCUCCUCUGGUCUCGAAGUUGAUGACACCCUGAUGCAAAGCUCCCACAAUCAUCCGCUCCGUCUCAGCAGGAGGAGAGCAAUGUUCUAUUAAUGGACAGAGGAGGAGAGCAAUGGAAAUAACACCCCGUCGCGGUCCUGGUGCUUCUCUCCAUGGGUUCGCUUGCAAACCUCGGCGUUUGCGGCUUCUAUAGGUACGUACUAGACGACUACCCAUUGUUUUUGUUUUCUAUUGACAGUUUGAUCGCUUCAUCAAUCCUUCUAGAGGGUCUUGACAGGAAGGACUGAGCAGCCACUGUGCUGGAGUAGACUGUGUGACAGGUUUUUUCCUCUCUCUCCUACCCGUGAUUGGUUUCUUUGGUGAAAAAAGCAUCACUGUCUUUCAAUACAUCAUGGAUGCUCAACCUGUAUGUCUACAUGGUACAAGAAUGAAGAUUAACCGUUCAGUCUAUUGAUUCAGAGUGAGACAAGGGUGAAACAGAAUAAGCUCAUUUUUGUGGUUCAUUGUCGGAAAAGAAUAUUUAGCAUGAAUGUAGGUGCUUUCAUAUGAAGCUGGACAUGUUUACAAUGAUCGACCGGAUAUCGUUACACGUGUCCUGAAUAUGAAGUUUAAUGAUUUCUGAGAAGAUGUUAAAAGUGGACAUUUGUUUGGUACAAUUCAAGCAUAUUUAUACAUGGUGGAAUUCCAGAAUAGAGGCUUGCCUCAUACUCAUACUUCAAUUCGGCUUAUAGGGAACAAUCAUGAGCCUUCGGCCUCCUUCAUAGAUGGUUUGAUUUCGGCUGAGAUACUUGAUCCUUUGGUUGAGCGCUGGUUAUGCUCUUAUGGAUUAAAGUAAAGUGUGCAUGUAUGAAAGAUGGAUCGAGUUCCAAAAGAUUUCCCAAAGAUUUUAAUGAGCAGACAUCGGUUGAUGAUAGAGGCUUUCCUAUAUAUCGUAGACGUGAUUUGGGUUACUAUGUGAGGAACAA